GGGGGCGACCUGGUUUCGACGGGGUUGAUAGAAGCACAGGCUGCAUAUCGGGCCCGCAACCCGGAACAUGCGGUUUUAAACAUAAUCGCAGACGAUUAUAACUACGCUGUAGCAGCAUAAGCUACCGUCCUGCUGUGGCAAGAUUGCGGCCGCAGUUAAAGGGCGUCGACUCAAGCGAUCUCGUCUUUUUGCAAUGCUCUUGUGCAUCAGGAUUAAAUCUAAAGGGCUGGCGGGCAAUGACUUUUGUCUGUAAAAGGCUUUGCCCGCGAGAUUAAAUCUACAGACUAAGUAUGUAGAUGCCUUUGUGGAACUUCCUCGGACGGGGGUUCGAUUCCCCCCGCCUCCACCA
rnacentral:tmRNA from 1 species